rnacentral:rRNA from 1 species
AUGGGGACCGGUCUCUUUGGGCACAUCGACAAAACCAUAGCCGAACCACCAAGAACCCUAACCAGCAAAACCUCCGAGGGCAAAGAUCGGGUUGUUCCAAAUCCUGCUUAUGCGCCUUGGUUGAUCCAAGAUCAGCAGAUCAUUGCCUACCUGCUCCGCAAUCUCUCCAAGGAAGUGUUAGUUCAGGUAGCAUCCUUAGAAACCUCUGCCGCCAUAUGGUCAGCUCUUUCCAACAUGUUCUCUACCCAAUCCAGAUCCAAAACCAAUCAUGUUCGCAUAUCUCUCACCACUGCCCAGAAAGGAACCCAAUCUACUGCUGUGUACUUCGGGCAUAUGCGCGGUCUCGCUGAUGAGCUAGCUGCAGCAGGAAAACCCAUCACAGAGAACGAACUCGUCUCCCACAUCAUAUCUGGUCUUGACAUGGACUAUCGACCAAUCAUCUCUGCACUUGAGGUGCGUCUUGAUGAUGUCACCGUCGAUGAGCUCUUCAACAUGGUGGCUACCUUUGAUCAGAGGGUAGAGAUGUUCCAGGGCACGGGUGCUGGUGCCUUCAAAUCAUCAGCCAACGUUGCAUCACGCGGCCAUGGAGGUGGCUCGACCAAGGGCUAUCGCGGCGGCGGUGGCGGCGGUCCUCGUCGUGGCUCUGGAAAUGGCGGCGGCGGAGGCUACCCCAACAACGGCGGCAGCAAAGGCUACUAUGGCGACCACGGCAACCACUAUGGUGGUGGCGGUGGCAGCCACUACUCCAACAACAAUUAUCAGGGAGGAGGCCGACUAAAAGUACAUGUAGUCCCCAUGUGUGGUUUUGGUAAUUAA